rnacentral:rRNA from 1 species
UCCAGACUCCUACGGGAGGCAGCAGUGGGGGAUAUUGCACAAUGGGGGGAACCCUGAUGCAGCGACGCCGCGUGGGUGAAGGAGUAUUUCGGUAUGUAAAGCCCUAUCGGCAGGGAAGAAGAAAGACGGUACCUGACUAAGAAGCCCCGGCUAACUACGUGCCAGCAGCCGCGGUAAUACGUAGGGGGCGAGCGUUAUCCGGAUUCACUGGGUGUAAAGGGAGCGUAGACGGAAAGGCAAGUCAGAAGUGAAAACCCAAGGCUCAACCAUGGGACUGCUUUUGAAACUGUCAAACUAGAGUACGGGAGAGGUAAGAGGAAUUCCUAGUGUAGCGGUGAAAUGCGUAGAUAUUAGGAGGAACACCAGUGGCGAAGGCGUCGUACUGGACCGAAACUGACGUUGAGGCUCGAAAGCGUGGGGAGCAAACAGGAUUAGAUACCCCAGUAAAG